UACAGAGGGUGCGAGCGUUAAUCGGAAUUACUGGGCGUAAAGCGUGCGUAGACGGCUAUCUAAGUCGGGUGUGAAAGCCCCGGGCUCAACCUGGGAAUUGCAUUCGAGACUGAAUAGCUAGGGUGCGGUAGAGGGAAGCGGAAUUUCCGGUGUAGCGGUGAAAUGCGUAGAUAUCGGAAGAACAUCAGUGGCGAAAGCGGCUUCCAUGGACCAGCACCGACGGUUC
rnacentral:rRNA from 1 species